GUCUUUUUGUUAAUAAUUUAAAGUCGAAUCUGCCCACUGAUUAAUAAUUAAAGGGCUGCAGUAUAUUGACUGUACAAAGGUAGCAUAAUAAUUAGUCUUUUAAUUGAAGACUUGUAUGAAAGAUUUGAUGAGAUAUAAACUGUCUUUUUUUUAUAAUUUGAAUUUAAUUUUUUAGUAAAAAAGCUAAAAUUUAUUUAAAAGACGAGAAGACCCUAUAGAGUUUUAUAAUUACUUUAAUUAUGUAUUUAUUUAUAAUUUUGAAAUUAAUUAAUUUAAUUAUUUUAUUGGGGUGAUAGAAAAAUUAAAAUAACUUUUUUUAUAAAUAAACAUUAAUUAAUGAGUAAAUGAUCCAUUUUUUAUGAUUACAAGAAAAAAUUACCUUAGGGAUAACAGCGUAAUUUUUUUUUUUAGUUCUUAUAAGAAAAAAAGUUUGCGACCUCGAUGUUGGAUUAAGAUAAAAUUUAAAUGCAGAAGUUUAAAAUUUUGAUCUGUUCGAUCAUUAAAAUCUUACA
rnacentral:rRNA from 1 species